rnacentral:rRNA from 1 species
CAGCAAUGCCGCGUGUGUGAAGAAGGCCUUCGGGUUGUAAAGCACUUUUGUCCGGAAAGAAAUCGCGCUGGUUAAUACCUGGCGUGGAUGACGGUACCGGAAGAAUAAGCACCGGCUAACUACGUGCCAGCAGCCGCGGUAAUACGUAGGGUGCGAGCGUUAAUCGGAAUUACUGGGCGUAAAGCGUGCGCAGGCGGUUUGAUAAGACAGGCGUGAAAUCCCCGAGCUUAACUUGGGAAUGGCGCUUGUGACUGUCAGGCUAGAGUAUGUCAGAGGGGGGUAGAAUUCCACGUGUAGCAGUGAAAUGCGUAGAGAUGUGGAGGAAUACCGAUGGCGAAGGCAGCCCCCUGGGACGUCACUGACGCUCAUGCACGAAAGCGUGGGGAGCAAACAGGAUUAGAUACCCUGGUAGUCCACGCCCUAAACGAUGUCAACUAGUUGUUGGGGAUUCAUUUCU